AUACGUAGGGGGCGAGCGUUGUCCGGAAUGAUUGGGCGUAAAGGGCGCGUAGGCGGCCCGGUAAGUCUGGAGUGAAAGUCCUGUUUUUAAGAUGGGAAUUGCUUUGGAUACUGUCGGGCUUGAGUGCAGGAGAGGUAAGUGGAAUUCCCAGUGUAGCGGUGAAAUGCGUAGAGAUUAGUAAGAACACCGGUGGCGAAGGCGGCUAUCUGGACAGUAACUGACGCUGAGGCGCGAAAGCGUGGGGAGCAAACAGGAUUAGAUGCCGUGGUAGUCCACGCCGUAAACGAUGAAUACUAGGUGUAGGGGGUAUCGACGCCCUCUGUGCCGCAGUUAACACAAUAAGUAUUCCGCCUGGGGAGUACGGCCGCAAGGUUGAAACUCAAAUGAAUUGACGGGG
rnacentral:rRNA from 1 species